rnacentral:rRNA from 1 species
GGCUUAAGCUUAGUAGGCACAUACACGAUGAAAUAAUUAAAAAAUGAAUUAUGCAAAAAAAAAAAGCUNAAGCAAGCUUAGUAGGCUACCUUCGCCUGAAUACUGUGUGCAUGGAAUAAUGGAAUAGGGCCUCGGUUCUAUUUUGUUGGUUUUCGGAGCCCCGAGGUAAUGAUUAAUAGGGACAGAUGGGGGCAUUCGUAUUGCGACGUUAGAGGUGAAAUUCUUGGAUCGUCGCAAGACGGGCAGACAGCGAAAGCCUUUGCCCAAAAUGUUUUCAUUAAUCGAAAAAAAAAAGCUUAAGCC